GACGAACGCUGGCGGCGUGCUUAACACAUGCAAGUCGAACGGAAAGGCCCUGCUUUUGUGGGGUGCUCGAGUGGCGAACGGGUGAGUAACACGUGAGUAACCUGCCCUUGACUUUGGGAUAACUUCAGGAAACUGGGGCUAAUACCGGAUAGGAGCUCCUGCUGCAUGGUGGGGGUUGGAAAGUUUCGGCGGUUGGGGAUGGACUCGCGGCUUAUCAGCUUGUUGGUGGGGUAGUGGCUUACCAAGGCUUUGACGGGUAGCCGGCCUGAGAGGGUGACCGGCCACAGUGGGACUGGGAUACGGCCCAGACUCCUACGGGAGGCAGCAGUGGGGAAUAUUGCACAAUGGGCGGAAGCCUGAGGCAGCAACGCCGCGUGCGGGAUGACGGCCUUCGGGUUGUAAACCGCUUUCGCCUGUGACGAAGCGUGAGUGACGGUAAUGGGGAAAGAAGCACCGGCUAACUACGU
rnacentral:rRNA from 1 species